UACAGAGGGUGCGAGCGUUGUCCGGAAUCACUGGGCGUAAAGGGCGCGUAGGUGGCGACCCAAGUCGAUGGUGAAAGCUCGCCGCUCAACGGCGAGUCGGCCACCGAUACUGGGUUGCUGGAGCACUGUAGAGGCUCAUGGAAUUCCGGGUGUAGCGGUGGAAUGCGUAGAGAGUCCGGAAGAACACCGGUGGCGAAGGCGGUGAGCUGGGCAGUUGCUGACACUGAGGCGCGGACAGCGUGGGGAGCAAACAGG
rnacentral:rRNA from 1 species